UAAGGGCGUACGGUGGAUGCCUAGGCACUUGGAACUGAAGAAGGACGCAACAAACGGCGAAACGCGACGGGGAGUGGUACGUACACAAAGAUCCGUCGAUAUCCGAAUGGGGAAACCCGGCAGCAGUAAUGAGCUGUCACCCAUGAGUGAAUACAUAGCUCAUGAGGGAGGUACCCGGAGAACUGAAACAUCUAAGUAUCCGGAGGAAAAGAAAAUAAGAAUGAUUCCGUAAGUAGCGGCGAGCGAACGCGGAGGAGCCCAAACCAGAUCUUGAUCUGGGGUUGUAGGACCACGAAAUGGCAAGAGCAUGGCUAAGAGAACGGCAUUGAAAGGCCGACCGGAGAGGGUGCAAGUCCCGUAACUGAAAGUCUAGCGAAGCCUAGUGGUAUCCUGAGUACGGCGAGACACGAGAAAUCUUGUCGGAAGCAGGCGGGACCAUCCGUCAAGGCUAAAUAUACCCAAGUGACCGAUAGUGAACCAGUACCGUGAGGGAAAGGUGAAAAGAACCGCGGGAGCGGAGUGAAAUAGAACCUGAAACCGUAUGCUUACAAGAAGUCAGAGCCCGUUAAAGGGUGAUGGCGUGCCUUUUGUAGAAUGAACCGGCGAGUUACGUUAUCGUGCGAGGUUAAGUAGAAGAUACGGAGCCGAAGCGAAAGCGAGUCUUAAUAGGGCGACAGUACGAUGAUGUAGACCCGAAACCGUGUGAUCUAGCCAUGACCAGGUUGAAGUUCAGGUGAAACUGAAUGGAGGACCGAACCGACCCCCGUUGAAAAGUUGGCGGAUGAGUUGUGGCUAGGGGAGAAAUUCCAAUCGAACACGGAUAUAGCUGGUUCUCCCCGAAAUAGCUUUAGGGCUAGCGUCGAGGUAGAGUCGCAUGGAGGUAGAGCACUGAAUGUACGAUGGCCCCAUCCCGGGGUACUGAGUAUAAUCAAACUCCGAAUGCCAUGCAGACAUACUCGGCAGUCAGACUGUGGGUGAUAAGGUCCAUGGUCAAAAGGGAAACAGCCCAGACCGCCAGUUAAGGUCCCAAAAUGUAUGCUAAGUGGAAAAGGAUGUGGGGAUGCACAGACAACUAGGAGGUUGGCUCAGAAGCAGCCAUCCUUCAAAGAGUGCGUAACAGCUCACUAGUCGAGUGACCCUGCGCCGAAAAUGUACCGGGGCUAAGC
rnacentral:rRNA from 1 species